rnacentral:rRNA from 1 species
UAGGGAAUCUUCCGCAAUGGGCGAAAGCCUGACGGAGCAACGCCGCGUGAGUGAUGAAGGUCUUCGGAUCGUAAAACUCUGUUAUUAGGGAAGAACAAAUGUGUAAGUAACUAUGCACGUCUUGACGGUACCUAAUCAGAAAGCCACGGCUAACUACGUGCCAGCAGCCGCGGUAAUACGUAGGUGGCAAGCGAUAUCCGGAAUUAUUGGGCGUAAAGCGCGCGUAGGCGGUUUUUUAAGUCUGAUGUGAAAGCCCACGGCUCAACCGUGGAGGGUCAUUGGAAACUGGAAAACUUGAGUGCAGAAGAGGAAAGUGGAAUUCCAUGUGUAGCGGUGAAAUGCGCAGAGAUAUGGAGGAACACCAGUGGCGAAGGCGACUUUCUGGUCUGUAACUGACGCUGAUGUGCGAAAGCGUGGGGAUCAAACAGG